CCUACGGGUGGCAGCAGUGAGGAAUCUUGGUCAAUGGCCGGAAGUCUGAACCAGCCAAGCCGCGUGAAGGACGAAGGUGCCAAGCAUUGUAAACUUCUUUUGUCAUGGGACAAAAUCAGGCUCGAGAGCCUGACCGAGGGUACUUGAAGAAAAAGCAUCGGCUAACUCCGUGCCAGCAGCCGCGGUAAUACGGAGGAUGCGAGCUUUAUCCGGAUGUAUUGGGUUAAAAGGGUGCGUAGGCGGGCUGUUACGUCAGCGGUAAAAGCCCGGGGCUCAACCCCGGCGAGCCGUUGAAACUGGCGGUCUUGAGAUGGCGAGAGGUAUGCGGAAUGCGCAGUGUAGCGGUGAAAUGCUUAGAUAUUGCGCAGAACUCCGAUUGCGAAGGCAGCAUACCGGCGGCGAUCUGACGCUGAGGCACGAAAGCGUGGGUAUCGAACAGGAUUAGAUACCCCAGUAGUC
rnacentral:rRNA from 1 species